AACGAACGCUGGCGGCAGGCCUAACACAUGCAAGUCGAACGCGUGUAGCAAUACACGAGUGGCGCACGGGUGAGUAACACGUGGGAACCAACCCAGAGGUUCGGAAUAACCGCGGGAAACUGCGGCUAAUACCGGAUGUCCCCCAUGGGGGAAAGAUUUAUCGCCUCUGGACGGGCCCGCGUCCGAUUAGCUAGUUGGUGAGGUAAUGGCUCACCAAGGCAACGAUCGGUAGCUGGUCUGAGAGGAUGACCAGCCACACUGGAACUGAGAUACGGUCCAGACUCCUACGGGAGGCAGCAGUGGGGAAUAUUGGGCAAUGGAGGCAACUCUGACCCAGCCAUGCCGCGUGGGUGACGAAGGUCUUCGGAUUGUAAAGCCCUUUCGGCGGGACGAUGAUGACGGUACCCGCAGAAGAAGCCCCGGCUAACUUCGUGCCAGCAGCAGCCGCAGU
rnacentral:rRNA from 1 species